rnacentral:snRNA from 1 species
AAAAGCAAACAGAGGUAUCAAAA